UUCGUAGGUGGUGCGGCAAGUUGGGAGUGAAAUCUCUGGGCUUAACUCAGAGGCUGCUUUCCAAACUGCCGUGCUCGAGUGCGGGAGAGGCCAGUGGAAUUGCAGGUGUAGCGGUGAAAUGCGUAGAUAUCUGCAGGAACACCCGUGGCGAAGGCGGCUGGCUGGACCGCAACUGACACUGAGGAACGAAAGCUAGGGGAGCAAACA
rnacentral:rRNA from 1 species